rnacentral:rRNA from 1 species
AUUGAACGCUGGCGGCAGGCUUAACACAUGCAAGUCGAGCGGGGUGAUGGUGCUUGCACUAUCACUUAGCGGCGGACGGGUGAGUAAUGCUUAGGAAUCUGCCUAUUAGUGGGGGACAACAUCUCGAAAGGGAUGCUAAUACCGCAUACGUCCUACGGGAGAAAGCAGGGGAUCACUUGUGACCUUGCGCUAAUAGAUGAGCCUAAGUCGGAUUAGCUAGUUGGUGGGGUAAAGGCCUACCAAGGCGACGAUCUGUAGCGGGUCUGAGAGGAUGAUCCGCCAAACUGGGACUGAGACACGGCCCAGACUCCUACGGGAGGCAGCAGUGGGGAAUAUUGGACAAUGGGGGGAACCCUGAUCCAGCCAUGCCGCGUGUGUGAAGAAGGCCUUAUGGUUGUAAAGCACUUUAAGCGAGGAGGAGGUUCUUUUGGUUAAUACCCAAGAUGAGUGGACGUUACUCGCAGAAUAAGCACCGGCUAACUCUGUGCCAGCCGCCGCGGUAA